AGCAGCCGCGGUAAUUCCAGCUCCAAUAGCGUAUAUUAAAGUUGUUGCAGUUAAAAAGCUCGUAGUUGAAUUUCGGGAUCAAAUUGUCGGUCGUGCCUCGGUACGUACUGGCGUUAUUGGUUCCUCCCUUCUGAAGAACCGCGAUGUCAUUAAUUUGGUGUCGCGGGGAAUCAGGACUGUUACUUUGAAAAAUUAGAGUGUUUAAAGCAGGCUCGCGCUUGAAUACAUUAGCAUGGAAUAAUGAAAUAGGACGUUUGAUUCUAUUUUGUUGGUUUCUAGGAUCGACGUAAUGAUUAAUAGGGAUAGUUGGGGGCAUUAGUAUUCAAUUGUCAGAGGUGAAAUUCUUGGAUUUAUUGAAGACUAACUACUGCGAAAGCAUUUGCCAAGGAUGUUUUCAUUAAUCAAGAACGAAAGUUAGGGGAUCGAAGACGAUCAGAUACCGUCGUAGUCUUAACCAUAAACUAUGCCGACUAGGGAUCGGAUGAUGUUAAUUUUUAAUGUACUCAUUCGGCGCCUUACG
rnacentral:rRNA from 1 species